rnacentral:lncRNA from 1 species
ACAAUUGUACCAAGACUUUUAUUAUGAAAAUUAGAGAAUUUUCUCUCGAAGCUUUUGCUUCAUUUAUCUUUGUUCUGGAUGGGACAACUCACUGAACUUAUCAGGAAUUGUUAAUUCUCGUAGCGUUCAAAAUCAUUGGGUGAGAAUUACAACACGUGCAAUCAAGGGGUCUUCUUUUUUUGUUCACUGUUUUGGAAUUCAAAUCCACAAAUUCGAGUAUAAUUUCGAGGCUUUGUGAUCAAGAAGUUGUGGGUUUCAUAUACCUCUGAUUGCUUGGUUCAACGUUUGGAGAUUAGAUCCUAAACAUUGGUCGUAUUUUGACAUUCUUGGAAUUCGGUGUCAAUUCCUAUAGGUUCGAUUGCAACCUUGCUAACCGGUUAUGCAUCAUUUGGUAUUAGAGCUAAGGCACCAAGAUCGAGGUUAUAUCCCUUUUUUUUAUUUUUGUUGAGUCAGUUGUUAUUUUUCUUUAUUGUUUUUCGUGUUCUUCGAGUCAGUCAGUAGUUGUGAGUCUUUGAUCAAAAAAAUUUCAAAAGUUGUUUUUGGAUUCAAUUUGCGUCCAAAUCAACUUCCAUUUGUUGCAUCAGCGUCUUUUUUGAUUUUUCUAUCCUAAGAGUAAAAAAAUAUUUAUCUUUCAUUUCGUACAGUAUUGUUUAGUCCGUACGGUACAGGAAAAAAAUUUUGAGUAAAAAAAGGCUGAAAAAAUGAGUCAGAAAAAAGAGUCAAAAAGUUCAAAAAAGAAUCAGAAAAAGAGUCAAAAGUUAAAAAAAGAAUCAGAAAAAGAGUCAAAAGUUAAAAAAANAAAAAAAGUCAAAAAUUAAAAAAAAAAACAAAAAAAAAGUCAAAAAUUAAAAAAAAAAAAAAAAAAGAGUCAAAAAAAAGAGUAAAAAAAAAGUGUCAAGUCAAAAAAAAAUGUCUGAAAGGAUGUUUUGGAGGUCUGAGAAAAUGUUGGUGAAUUUAGAGGAUAGGUUGGACAGGUUAGGUACAAAAUUGGUUAAACUCCACAAGGAUCAAUGUGAUGACGUGUGUAAUGUGCGAAGUCUGGAUAGAUGGGAGCAUAGGAUUGAAAUUCAUAAUGUAUAUAAAGAUAAGUUGGUUGAUGCUGGAAUACGGGGAUUGAGAAGUAGAUGUGAUAGGCUUGAAAGAAGGGAUAUAAAUCAUUUUGGAGGCAAUGAUAGGAGUAUAGGAAAUAUAAAAAUGUCAAUUCCGCAAUUUAAGGGUAGGAGUGAUCCCGAGGCGUAUGUGGCAUGGGAAGAAAAAUUAGAAUUGAUGUUUGGGUGCCAUGAUUAUUCUGGGCAGAGAAAAUUGAGGUUAGUUGUGACCUCAUUCGUGGAUUAUGCUUUAAUUUGGUGGGUAGAGUUGAUAACAUCUAGGCGAAGGUAUGGUAAGAGGCCGAUUAAGAAUUGGGAUGAGUCGAAGGCGAUUAUGAGGAGACGAUAUGCACCUAAUUAUUAUUAUAGGAGUGAUCGACGUGAGCAGGAAUUGAAAAAGGUGCCUAGAAGAACUUAUGGGGUUAAGCAUCCAAUGGAGAAGAAAACAUCUUUUGUGAAGUGUGCGGGUAGUACAUCUAGCAGAGUGUUGGGAUGGAUUAUAAGCGAGAAUUAGCGAAGAUUCGUGAAUUGUUAAAUUCUCAAAUUAAUCACGUGAAGGAACAAGAGAGUAGAAGAGAAACUAGUGGGGUGGUUGAUUGUGAGAAAAAAGAAGAUAAGUCACGAGAAAAUAAAAAGGGGAUCGAGAUUGAAAACAAGAAGGGUUAAGUGGUUAAAAUGGGAGUGGAGUUACGUGAUCAAAAGGAGGAAGAAUCUUCGGAGGUGAAAGAGGAGUUGGAAGUGAGUUUGCAUGAAGAGGAGAUUAAAAUUGAGGAGGCGUUGGCGAACACUAACAUUUCCCUCCCUAUUUUGGAUAUUUCUGUUUUGUAGGUUAACAAAGACUCAAUUCCAAAAAAACAAUCCUAUUGGAAUCCCUUACAAUUCGAGCAUCGAGUAUCAAUUUGUGGAUAAACUUCAAUAACAACCGCAUCUUGCUUUGGAAAUAUCAUAUAUACCUAAUGUUGACUUUGUGAUUCCCGAGAAGACAGCGAAGUUUCAAAGGCAUUGGUUGAAUUGCCUAUGCAGAGGGUUGAAUGGCAAAGAUGAGAUGAAAGGCAACGUUGACACAUUGGACAUGAUAUUACCUCAAGUGCUUGGGCCAAGUGAAGCAAGUAGAAUACAUGGUUACUCAUCAUACGGGAUUGUUAUUGGAGCAGUUCCAACUUGCAAGAUUAAGCAGUCGAGGCGAACACACUUUAGUCCAUGUGACGGAGAUUGGGUUUACAUAUGCAAGAGGUAGGUUCAAGUUCAAAAGAGGUCCAAAUUGCAUUCUAGAGGUGAUGGGCCAUUUCAUGUUCUCACAUUGAUUGAAGACAAGGGUUACAACUUGGAUUAGAAUUCGAGGACGAAUCCUUUCGAAGAGAGAAGGUCUGAUAUGAUCCGGAAUGGACCGCAUAGAAAUAAAUUUGGAAGAAAAUCUUUCUUUUUGCAAGAAGUUUUAAUUCCAUUAGAAUUUUAUCUUUUUUGGUAACUUUCAUGUUUUAGGAGAUUUGAUCACCUUUUUAAUUAUUCUCUAGAGUUUUGUUCCUUUUAAAACUAGUUCUAGGUUUUCUCUAUAAGUAGGAUUUAUUCUUUACAAUUGUACCAAGACUUCUA